CGAACCUACUGACACGCGUUGCACUUCAGAGUCGUGCAAACCCCUGCCCCAGCGCGGGCCAAUAGAAAAGGGUGUGAGUGAGCCUUCCUGCGUCUAGGGGGAGCAGGGGCGACGGAUAGGCUAAGGGAGCAAGACUUUCCGUGGCGCACCAGGACUGCGCACCCCCUGCGCAGAGUCGGCGCGGGGCGCUGCGCGCAGGGCCAUCCAGGCUUGCCCCAGCAGGCUCCCCCUAGCGGCUGUGCGGGGAACAGCGCACAGGAGGUCAUUGCCCCGGCCUAGGCUAGGGGUGGUGGCUUGGACCAGGGCAGGAUCAGCAGAGGCCCUGGACAUAUUAUCCAUCACCAAGAGACAAGCAGCACGGUGACGUACACCUGUAAUCCCAGCCCUCAGGAGGCUGAGGCAGGAGCAUGACAGAGUUUGAGGCCAGCCUGGCCUACAUAGCAAGACCCUGUCUCUGAACAAGUUCAACAAGUGACCGGAGGCUGGAAAUGGUGUGCACAUCCAUCCAAGAGACUCCAAAGAACAAAGCCUAAAGCCAGGUGUGGCAGUGCACGCCUGUGAGCCAAGCACUUGGGAGGCUGAGGCAGGAGGAUCACUGUGAGUUCGAGGCCACCCUGAACUACAUAGCAAGACCGUCUCUGAAAAAUCAAAAAAUAAAUAGUAGUAAUAAAAGAAAA
rnacentral:lncRNA from 1 species